rnacentral:lncRNA from 1 species
AUGCUCAGGGCUGCUGAUGCCCUGAGCCGAAAGGUCCUUUCAUCUUCUAGGUUUUACAAAUGUCACCUCACACAGGGGGCAUGCUUGUCGUCCUUAACAAGGACAAUCAAGUCAGAGUGUCCAGAGAGAGUCUGCAGCCAUUCAGGGAUAAAGAAGCCAGCAGAUCCGUCUUCAGAGGCAUGACCCAGAAUUAUUUGGCGUGAAUUCACCAAGGACGGCCAUGAACCCCCGAUCCUCCUGCUUCCUCCUCUCAACUGUUGGUAUUACAGGAUAUGCCUGUCCUGGGGAAGAGAUUUCACAAAGUGAACUGCGGGCAGAGAUGGAAAAGAAGCAUUCAUUCUUCGCCAGAGUACAAGGAAAGACGAUCCCUGAGAGCAGGAGGGGCCUAGAUCCUGUCAUUAUAGAAGCUGCGAGCUCAAAUCACUCCAUGUAAACAUUCAAGUAAAGAUGAAAGUAGGGGUCUGCAGGAUGUGAGGAGCAUUGGGUGUCAGGCAUAGAAGGAGCUAUUAGAGGGGAGACGUUAAGUGUGGUGGUGGGGGAGGAGGAGGAGGAGACCAGAGCUAGCUCCCUACCACUGUGGGUUCGGCCAUGAUGUACUGGCUCACAACCAGCUAAAAGCAACAAGACCAAGGAGUCCUGCAGCUGAACCUCCAAAACUACAUGUCAAAAUGAACCUUGUCCCCAUGGUUCUCCACUAAAGGGACUACACACAGGCAUGAUUUAAAGAUGACCCAGCCUCCAUUUCAGAGUUACCAUUUGGGUGCACAUUUCAGCCAAGAGUGCUUAGGAGACAAUGGUGAUACAUAAGGAAGCUGAAGUAUCUGAACGUUCUACAAAGCUGAGAGAGGCCCUCAGCCUCCCAGCCCAGCAGUGGUGUCUGUCUCCUGGGAAUAACACAGCUUUAUGGACAAAGCAGGAUGUGCCAGGGAAAAACAAAUAAGCAUGCAGCAGCCCACUAUGGAAGGAAAUAUUCCUAGUCAAACAGUAACAUAAUACCUGCUUAUUCUUUUCAAACCCUCCUGUCAUUUAUUUGAAGAUUAUUUUCCACUGAAGCCUUUGCAGAAGGUACUUAGAGCAAAGCCUCAAGAGACUCUCACGCUCAUUUUGGAGCUGUCUGAUAUUCAUGGCUCCGAGCUGGGCAAAUAUUAGCUGGAAGAUGUAGACGGUGAUAAGGCCAACGGCCUACACUUCUCCAGACCCUAAAAGGGUUUCUGUUGACACAACCUGAUUUGUCUCGGCAGCAGCUGCACUGCAUAGAUUUUGCACGGAACCCCUGUCAUGGUUGGUGCUCGUGUGGGGAGCCAGGCACCUCCCUGGAUGCUUUAUCAUAGGAGCGACGGUCAGCACAGUUCUAUACUCAUGGGCUUUAGGAAGAUAAGAACCCCCAAUCAACCCUCAGUUAUGAAGUUAUUAUUGUUGUAGCUUUCUGUUCCACUGUUGUCCUUUGGUAACCGAGAAUAAGUGAAUAAAUAAAUGAAUGAAUCCGUUCAG